rnacentral:rRNA from 1 species
GAGCGGUAGAGAGAAGCUUGCUUCUCUUGAGAGCGGCGGACGGGUGAGUAAUGCCUAGGAAUCUGCCUGGUAGUGGGGGAUAACGUUCGGAAACGAACGCUAAUACCGCAUACGUCCUACGGGGGAAAGCAGGGGACCUUCGGGCCUUGCGCUAUCAGAUGAGCCUAGGUCGGAUUAGCUAGUUGGUGAGGUAAUGGCUCACCAAGGCGACGAUCCGUAACUGGUCUGAGAGGAUGAUCAGUCACACUGGAACUGAGACACGGUCCAGACUCCUACGGGAGGCAGCAGUGGGGAAUAUUGGACAAUGGGCGAAAGCCUGAUCCAGCCAUGCCGCGUGUGUGAAGAAGGUCUUCGGAUUGUAAAGCACUUUAAGUUGGGAGGAAGGGCCAUUACCUAAUACGUGAUG